UGUAAUAUUGUAUGAUCCCCGUUCGUUCACCUUAACCUAGAAAUUAAAUCUGCUUUCAUUAGGAGAUUUUCAGAGUCGGUGGUCGCCGCAAGAACGUUCACCUUCCCGAGGAGAUCGCUUGCCAAGCACCGGUCUUUCCUGCCUGCGUGCAAUUUCGGGAUGGAAGACACUAGUUUGAGCGAGGGCGAGAGCGAGAGCAAAGACGACGAAGAAGAUGGAAAAUUCAAGAUCUUACAACAUCAGAUCAGUAAUCCACCAAAACCGUCCCCUCUCAGAAUUGGCCCGAUUCAGCAGCGUUAUUGCAGCCUCAAUGACCCGCAUCAAUGAAUGCAGUGGAUGGCAUAUCAAUAUUAAGUGAUAAGAUCAUCUGCCGUAGACGAAUAGAAGCUGUGGUGCAUUGGCUUGUCUUCCUUGCAGAAAGAGCCCUGAAUGGUGUACAUCAGCACAUGCUGUCGUUCUCCCUUUCUCCUUUACUUAAGUAACUCAAUAACAAGCGAUGGGGAGAAACAGAACUUCCAAGGCAGCAGUACUACCAGAUGCGGCACUUUAUUUGACAACCAUUAUGGGUCAAGGCCAGCGCAUAAAUGGGACUACGAUUGUCGCAACGAACGUGAGUGGCCGUGUAUUCUUGCUUAGUGAAGCAGAACAGCAAGCCAUGAAGAGGAUUGGGUUAAAACACAAACGUGUCGGAGCUCAUAAUCAUCAGAUUAGUAAUCCACCAAAGAUAAUGCAGUACUGUGAAGCAGGAAUUUAAUAUACCUAAAUAUUGCGUGAGGCAUAUGGCUGUCUUGUGUGUGCUGCUCCAUUGGGUAUGGCAACAUGUUUGAACUCUUCGGGGUCCACAAGAAUUGCUAUUCGAGUCGAGGCAGCUUUCGAUGUUUCUUUCAGCUUUAUGGUUGCAGUAUCGGAGCUGCUGAGUCUUGCUUUGAGUCCAUUAGGAGAUUAUAGCUUAAACCUCCAUUUUUUUCUCCACAAUAUUAGUUAUUUGUAUGUAAUAAAAAUAUGUUAAUAGACAAGUUAUGUGCACAGUGUGUGCUUAUCUUGUUUAUUAUUAAUUUUACAGUAUAGAUUAUCAUUCUGUUAACAUGGUAAAUUCUCCCAGAUAUACCACCCAAUUUAUUUUCAUAC